rnacentral:tRNA from 1 species
GGAGGGAUGCCGGAGCGGCCGAACGGAGCGGUCUUGAAAACCGCCGGGCGAGAGCCCCGUGGGUUCGAAUCCCACUCCCUCCG